rnacentral:siRNA from 1 species
CUUUUAACAGAUGUGCCGCC